rnacentral:lncRNA from 1 species
CAUCUAAUCUUAGAUCCAAGGCUCGGGUUAUUAUAUUCUUAUGAGUAUAGACCCCCUUUUAUUCAUAAAUUUUUAACUGUUGAUUGAUAGGAUGUGUGGUUAGGAUGAUGGUGGUCCCCACUUAUAAUGAUAGUAGUCCUCUAGGGUUGAGUGGUUAGUUGGUUGAAUAGUAUAAUCUAACGGAUGGAAUGAUCAAUAGAAUAAAUCUUAGGGCCGAAAACUUAUGAGUAUAAAGGAAUCAAUACUCAUAAAAGUAUAGUAGCCAGACUCAUAUAUAUAUAUAUAUAUAGAGAGAGAGAGAGCAGGGCUGCUGUGCUCUCAGGAGCACAGAGCCCUCCGUGCUCCUGAGCCAUUUUCGAUGAUGGGACUCCAGAAUCGACGAUCGGCUCGGCUAAACUUGAUCUAGCAUAUUUGAAGUAUCUAGAAAAUAAAUUGUGAUUUUUCGAUAUCGUUUACUUAGUGAUCGAAAGGGUUUAAAAUCAACGACUGAAAAUAAAAAUCUCAUAAAAAGUGGUAAUAUAGUACUAAAAUUUUUAAUCAGAGAUAAACUUGCUGUAGAUAAUAUAAAGAAUUUUCUAUUAGAAUUUCAUCGAUUUGGAUACUUCUAUGCCGUUAAACUUGAAACGGCAGAUAUCGACCAUUAAAAAUUGUUGAUUUUGAAUCUUUUCAAUCACUAGGUAAACGAUAUCGAAAAAUCGCAAAAUUUAUUUUCUACAUACUUCAAAUAUGCUAAAUCAUGUCUAGCGGAGCCGAUCGUUGAUUCGGGAGUCACAUUAUCGAAAACAGCUAGGAGCACGGAGGGCUCUGUGCUCCUCAGAGCACACAAGACCUACUAUAUAUAUAUAUAUAUAUAUAUAUAUAUAAUUGAGCUAGAAUACUUUUAGAAGCACCAACCCCUUGGUGCUUCUAAGUUUCUAGCCCUUGGAUCCAUUCCUUUAUUACUAAUAGCCUUUAAAUCAAACAUUAUUCCACCUACCACCACCUAUCACCAUCAUCUCAACCCUAUAUCUCUCCAUCCAAUAGCUAAAAACUCAAAAGCACCACCACCUUGGUGCUUUUGANGGUAGAUCUAACGGCAGAAAACUUGGUAGCACCAAGUACUUCGUGCUAUUAAUAGCAUAGUAGCUGGACUCUAUAGAUAUAUAUAUAGAAUUGAGCUAGAAUACUUUUAGAAGCACCAACCCCUUGGUGCUUCUAAGUUUCUAGCCCUUGGAUCCAUUCCUUUAUUACUAAUAGCCUUUAAAUCAAACAUUAUUCCAUCUACCACCACCUACUACAAUCAUCUCAACCCUACAUCUCUCCAUUCAAUAGCUAAAAACUCAAAAGCACCACCCCCUUGGUACUUUUAGAAGUAUUCUAGCUCAACUCUCUCUCUCUCUCUCUCUCUCUCUCUAUAUAUAUAUAUAUAUAUAUAUAUAUAUAUAGAGCUAAGCUACUAUACUAUCUGUAGUACCGAAGCUCCGGUACUAUAGUGUUGUUUUCGAUCUUCGGGCAUUCAAAUCAACGAUCCACACCGUUAAAUAUGAUCUAGGGUAUAUGAAGUUUUUAGGAAUAAAAGUUUAGUUUUUUUCGAUAUCGUUUAUUUAGUAAAUAAAUUAUGUCAAAAUGGACGGUGAAAAUUGAAUGCUCUUUAAAAUUUGAGUAUAGAACUUUUAAAUUCAAGAUCAAGAAUGUUAACCUUAAUCUAUAUAGUUUAAAGUAUUUUCUAUCAAAAUUUGAAGAAAUCUAGAUUUUUCUACACCGUUAAACUCCAAACUCGUCGUAAUAGCCAUUGAAAAUUGACAAUUUUGAAAUGGCUUGAUCAUAAAGUAAACCAUGUCGAAAAAAUAUAAAAUUUUAUUUCUAGAAACUUUAAAUACCCUAGAUCAUAUUUAACGGUGUGGAUCGUUGAUUUGAACGCCCGAAGAUCGAAAACAACACUAUAGUACCGGAGCUCCGGUACUAUAGAUGGUAUAGUAGCCUAAUUCUAUAUAUAUAUAUAUAUAUAUAGAGUUAGGCUGGUAUACUAUCGAUAGCACAGAAGUCUCCGUGCUACCAAGUUGUUUUCAAUGAUGCGACUUCCAAAUCGACAAUCGGCUCUGUUAAACUUGAUCUAUACUAUUAAAAGUAUUUGGUCAUAAUUUUUUGAUAUCAUUUGGCUAGUGAUCAAAAGGUCUCAAAAUUGACAAUUUUAAUGGUAGAUACGAUGCGUUUGUGAAUUUAACGGUGUAAAACAAUCCAAAUAUGAUGAAAUUUUUAUAGAAAAUUUUUUUCACUAUUUAGAGUAAGAUCAGUACCUCUAAUCUUAAAUUCAAGACUUUUAUCAUCAUUUUUUAUGAAAUUUUUAUUUUUGACCAUUCAUUUUUAGACUACUCCUUUAAUUGGUAAAUAAUGCCAAAAAAUUAUAAAAUUUAAUUUCCAAAUACUUUAAAUAGUAUAGAUCAAGUCCAACGGAGCCAAUCGUCGAUUUGGAAGCCGUAUCAGUGAAAACAACUUAGUAGCACUGAGACCUCCAUGCUACCGAUAGUAUACCAGUCUAGCUCUCUCUCUCUCUCUCUCUAUAUAUAUAUAUUUAU